GAUGAAGAACGUAGCGAAAUGCGAUAAGUAAUGUGAAUUGCAGAAUUCAGUGAAUCAUCGAAUCUUUGAACGCACAUUGCGCCCUCUGGUAUUCCGGGGGGCAUGCCUGUUCGAGCGUCAUUAUAACCACUCAAGCUCUCGCUUGGUAUUGGGGUUCGCGGUUUCGCGGCCCCUAAAAUCAGUGGCGGUGCCUGUCGGCUCUACGCGUAGUAAUACUUCUCGCGAUUGAGUUCGAUAGGUCUACUUGCCGGUAACCCCCAAUUUUUACAGGUUGACCUCGGAUCAGGUAGGGAUACCCGCUGAACUUAAGCAUAUCAAUAAGCGGAGGA
rnacentral:misc_RNA from 1 species